CGAAUCACCCGCAGCAAGAGCGACAUCGUUGAUAUAUACAGAGAAAAAGAGUCGGCCCGGGAAUUUGACCCUGUGGUACCCCCAUAGAGACUGCCAGAGGUCCGGACAGCAGGCCCUCCAAUUUGACACACUGAACUCUGUCUGAGAAGUAGUUGAUGAACCUGGCAAAGCAGUCAUUUGAGAAACCAAGGCUGUUGAGUCUGCCGAUAAGAAUACAGUGACUGACAGAGUCGAAAGCCUUGGCCAGGUCGAUGAAGACGGCUGCACAGUACUGUCUUUUAUCGAUGGCGGUUAUGAUAUCGUUUAGUUCCUUGAGAAUGGCUGAGGUGCACCCGUGACCAGCUCGGAAACCGGAUUGCACAGCGGAGAAGGAGUGAUGGUUGCUGAUAAUGUCACGGCCGUCGUCGGAAUGAGACCAAGGUGCAGCGUGUCCGUCAUCUGUUUUGUCUGAUGAUUUCCUAACCCGUUUUCACUGCUUGCCCGGCUCCCCACCUCAAGACG